UCAAAUGUUGCAGCCGGUUAAUGCGGGUAGGUAACCCAUUACAGCAAGGUUUGAGAUUCAUUCAAGUAGUAGAAAUGGUGUGUUUUCAUAGGUGUAGCUGAUUAACUAUUUGGUGUAAUCGAUUAUCACUGAAGUUGAUUUAAUUUCAAUUUAAUUCAAUGUCAGGUGUAAUCGGGUAACCACUUUGGUUAACCGAUUACAAGCACGAUUUUUUGUUAUUUAUGUUAUUUUAUUGGUCAA
rnacentral:lncRNA from 1 species